rnacentral:rRNA from 1 species
AUUGGACGCUGGCGGCAGGCCUAACACAUGCAAGUCGAGCGGAUGAGAGGAGCUUGCUUCUCGAUUCAGCGGCGGACGGGUGAGUAAUGCCUAGGAAUCUGCCUGGUAGUGGGGGACAACGUUUCGAAAGGAACGCUAAUACCGCAUACGUCCUACGGGAGAAAGCAGGGGACCUUCGGGCCUUGCGCUAUCCGAUGAGCCUAGGUCGGAUUAGCUAGUUGGUGAGGUAAUGGCUCACCAAGGCGACGAUCCGUAACUGGUCUGAGAGGAUGAUCAGUCACACUGGAACUGAGACACGGUCCAGACUCCUACGGGAGGCAGCAGUGGGGAAAAUUGGACAAUGGGCGAAAGCCUGAUCCAGCCAUGCCGCGUGUGUGAAGAAGGUCUUCGGAUUGUAAAGCACUUUAAGUUGGGAGGAAGGGUUGUAGAUUAAUACUCUGCAAUUUUGACGUUACCGACAGAAUAAGCACCGGCUAACUCUGUGCCAGCCGCCGCAGUAAAAC